rnacentral:rRNA from 1 species
GAUGAACGCUGGCGGCGUGCCUAAUACAUGCAAGUCGAGCGAACAGACGAGGAGCUUGCUCCUCGGAUGUUAGGGGCGGACGUGUGAGUAACACGUGGAUAACCUCCCUAUAAGACUGGUAUAACUUCGGGAAACCGGAGCUAAUAGCGUAUAACAUGUUGAACCGCAUGGUGCAACAGUGAAAGACGGUCUUGCUGGCACGUAUAGAGGGAUCCCCGCCGCAUUAGCUGGUUGGUAAGGUAACGGCUUAUCAAGGGAACGAGGCGUAGACGAGGUGAGUGAGUGAUCGCCCACCCUAGAGCUGGGACGCGGUCCAGAGUCCUGCGAGAGGCAGCAGUAGGGUAUCUUCCGCAGUAGGCGGAAACCUUGCGGAGCGGGCCCGAGUCAGUGACGGCGGUCUUCGGAUCGUGAAACUCUGUUAUUAGGGAAGAACCACUGUGUCAGUAAAUGUGCACGUAUUGACGGUACCUAAUCAGAAAGCCCCGGCUAACUACGUG